rnacentral:lncRNA from 1 species
GAUAAAAGGGCCUUCUUUCAACGGCCUCCAUGACUUCUUGAACUUUAAGACCCUCACAGUACAAAUAGCCAUCGUCUUUCUUGGUGAAGCAAUGUUGAAAUUUCUGAGUUGCUGGAGGUUUUUGUGAUAUGACAGCUCGGAUAGCGAGUGUUUUGGAAGCGGGUUUAUAAGAAAUUAAGGUUUUGGGAGUGAUCGGCUUUGAAGAUUGAUUUAGGGUUUUGGCGAAAGAGAGCGAUUGAAAUUGAAGGUGGGAAGAAGAGGCCGCCGCCGCCAUUGGUGAG